AUACGUAGGGUGCGAGCGUUAAUCGGAAUUACUGGGCGUAAAGCGUGCGCAGGCGGUUUUGUAAGACAGGGGUGAAAUCCCCGGGCUCAACCUGGGAACUGCCAUUGUGACUGCAAGGCUGGAGUGCGGCCGAGGGGGAUGGAAUUCCGCGUGUAGCCGUGAAAUGCGUAGAUAUGCGGAGGAACACCGAUGGCGAAGGAAAUCCCCUGGGCAGGCAUGGACUCUCAUGCACGAAGCGUGGGGAGCAAACAGGAUUAGAUACCCUGGUAGUCCACGCCCUAAACGAUGUCAACUGGUUGUUGGGGAUUUAUUUUCUCAGUAACGAAGCUAACGCGUGAAGUUGACCGCCUGGGGAGUACGGCCGCAAGGUUAAAACUCAAAUGAAUUGGCGGGG
rnacentral:rRNA from 1 species